ensembl:lncRNA
GUAAAAUUCAUUAGCUUUUAAAAAUACGCAUUAUUUUUCUUUGAAAGAUUUUUAUAAAAGAUUUAAAUGCUCUUUACACGUUUCUACAACAAUUAUUUAAAAGUAAUCCUAAAGCGCCAUCUAGUGGUGGCCAUGAUUGGUAUUACACACUGCACGUUUGGUGUUGCUCUCUGAACCGGUCAGAAUGAAGCGCGGCUAAAUGAAGCGUGAGAACAGAAUACACUGGGCAUAUGUCUACGUAACUCCAGGUUCACACACUCUGUUUGUAAUGCGUAUUUUUUCCGAGCCCAUGUUAAUGGAUCAGAGCGUUCACACUGCACACGGUAAAAGAUGUGAACAGAAAAGGUUAGAAAUAGAAAGGUGCGAAAAGAAUGAAUAUCUAGCUCAUGAGCAUAGAGAGAGUUGUGAGUUCGCAGGACACAGUUUGAGCAGAUGAGACGCGUUUUAAGUGCGCGCGCUCUCUCCGAGCGAGAGCAGCAUGUAUAUGAGCACGCGUGUCUGGUUUUGUGACAAAGAAAAGGAAAUCUGUGUGCGAACGGAUAGAUUCGCGCUCGCGCAUUAUUUUAAUGUGCUUUCGCGUUACAAUAACUCGCUCUCGCUACUGCUUCUGCACCGCAUACACAUACUGUAUACGCACUGCAGAGGAGUACGUGUGAACCUAUAAUGUAUAAAAAAAUUAUUUCAACACGAGGCACCACUACAAUGAGUUCUAUGACCAAUGCAUGACAAGAAAACAUGCCUAAUAAUUC